UCAUCUCUGUAGACUUCCAGUCGACUGCUGCGCUCAAUCCCACCAAUACUCACCCUGAUGCUGUUGCUGGUUUAAUCGUGGCUGUUCAGUUUCUCGCAUCUGCAGUUUAUUCUACUCACCUGGCUGCUGUCACAGCGCUCUACAGAUUACCCGCUCUGGAAUCUGGCUGCUCACUCGGACCUCUCGACCUCUCCCCUUUCGUCAGUCCUCCACCUGCAAGCUUGUUCGGAGACUCCCGGUUGCAUUUCCCGAUGCCUGUGCCCUUCCCCCUAGCCUUGAACCCAAGUCUACUAAAUGAAUUAACGUUGCUCAUGUUUAACAUGUUUGUGCCUAGUUCUAGUCAUAGUUUCUUGUUUAUAUCACAGAUCUAGAAAAUCGUAGUUCACAGUUCGUAGUCCUCGUGUCUCGUUAUCCCUACCAGUUCUUAGUUUAUAGUUCAUAGUCUUGAUUUCUUGGCAAUAAAGUCUUGUAAACCACGUUAUCUUGUGCCUCCGUGUGAGUUUCGCUCUGAGUCAGUCUGUUUUGUGCGGCCUCAGCCGUGACAGCUGGAACCAGUCAUCAGAAAAUAGUCAUACAGGGAUGAACGUGGUCAACAACAAUUUUCAUGCAACACUGCUCAAAUGGCACUAAGUUACCCAAAGUGUUCCAGGAAAAUAUCCCCCAAACUACUACACCACCAGCCUGAGCUGCCAAUACACAUCAGCAUGGAUCCAGGAUGCUUUCAUGCUGUUUACACCAAAUUCUGAACCUUCCACCUGAAUGUUACACCAGAAUUUGACUCAUCAGAUCAGAUGAUGUUUCUCCAAUCUUCUGUCCAGUGUGAGCCAUUUAAUUUUUACCCUGUACAUGUGUAUAAGAACCUUGUUAGUUCAGGCUGUAGUUUGCUUUGUGUGCAUAAAAUAAAAUUAUGGCACAUUAUCAAGAUGCUGAAGAGUUUCACUUCAACAUUUCGUCUGUUGUUUCACACUUCAGUGAACACAGUGAGGAAAACAGCCACACCUUUCUAAUCAUUAUUAUUCAGGUUUUACCCUUACAAUGCGCCGAAAGUUCAGUGAGGUGUCACAAAUUAGUUGUCGUUUGGUGCCAAGUCUUGGCACUGUUGGCUCCUCAGUCAUUAUCAGUGUAUGAUACAUUUAGUGUCAUGUAUUGUUGGAUUUGUGCCCGUGCUAGACACAUCAAAUCUCAUUUUAAAUGGGGAGAAGUGCUCUUUUUGGUGAUCAGUACUUCUGUAGUAUAUAUGUUCCAUGCUGCUCUGAUGGUUGACUUCUGAACAUACACAAUGAAAAAACAUGCAAGGUUAAUGGUGCCUGUGUCAGCCCAGGAAACUCUUGCAAAAUAAUUUUUUAAUCUCAGCAGUUUCACUUCCUGUUUAUUAAAAAAACAUUUUAAAAAAGUUCAGAAAUCCUUUGUUUACCCUGCUCCGCUGUGACUUCCCAGACUGUUAUAUUUCAUCAUGGAUUAACUGACAUCAAGCAGUUGCCUUUUUAUAUACAAUGCAAUGCAAAUGCAAUUACAAAGCACACAUCUUUGUCUAAUUAAUUGCGGGGAGGCAUUAGAGCUGGGUACUUAAAAUAUUCAAGAACUUUCCUGAAUUUAACAGUGUGUCCAUUCUGUUUUGAAUCUGAUUUCAGUUUGUGAUGUGCUUUUUGUUGCAGUUGUAAAGAGUCUAAAUGACUAAUCAGACACUUACUCUUCAGCAU